AGAGUUUGAUCCUGGCUCAGAUUGAACGCUGGCGGCAUGCCUUACACAUGCAAGUCGAACGGUAACAGGUCUUCGGAUGCUGACGAGUGGCGAACGGGUGAGUAAUACAUCGGAACGUGCCCAGUAAUGGGGGAUAGCUCGGCGAAAGCCGGAUUAAUACCGCAUACGCCCUGAGGGGGAAAGUGGGGGACCGCAAGGCCUCACGUUAUUGGAGCGGCCGAUGGCUGAUUAGCUAGUUGGUAGGGUAAAGGCCUACCAAGGCGACGAUCAGUAGCUGGUCUGAGAGGACGAUCAGCCACACUGGGACUGAGACACGGCCCAGACUCCUACGGGAGGCAGCAGUGGGGAAUUUUGGACAAUGGGGGAAACCCUGAUCCAGCAAUGCCGCGUGUGCGAAGAAGGCCUUCGGGUUGUAAAGCACUUUUGUCAGGGAAGAAAUCCUUUGGGCUAAUACCCUAGGGGGAUGACGGUACCUGAAGAAUAAGCACCAGCUAACUACGUGCCAGCAGCCGCGGUAAUACGUAGGGUGCAAGCGUUAAUCGGAAUUACUGGGCGUAAAGCGUGCGCAGGCGGUUGUGUAAGACAGGUGUGAAAUCCCCGGGCUUAACCUGGGAAUUGCAUUUGUGACUGCACGACUAGAGUGUGUCAGAGGGGGGUGGAAUUCCACGUGUAGCAGUGAAAUGCGUAGAUAUGUGGAGGAACACCAAUGGCGAAGGCAGCCCCCUGGGAUAACACUGACGCUCAUGCACGAAAGCGUGGGGAGCAAACAGGAUUAGAUACCCUGGUAGUCCACGCCCUAA
rnacentral:rRNA from 1 species